GUGCUCGAUCUGCAGUACAUAUACUAAAAUUGGAAUGAUACAGAGAAAAUUAGCGUGGCCCCUGUACAAGGAUGACACACAAAUUUGUGAAGUGUUCCAUAUUUUU